rnacentral:rRNA from 1 species
GACGAACGCUGGCGGCGUGCCUAAUACAUGCAAGUCGAGCGAAUCAAUAGGAGCUUGCUCCUGUUGGUUAGCGGCGGACGGGUGAGUAACACGUGGGCAACCUGCCUGUAAGACUGGGAUAACACCGGGAAACCGGUGCUAAUACCGGAUAAUCCUUUUCCUCUCAUGAGGGAAAGCUGAAAGUCGGCUUCGGCUGACACUUACAGAUGGGCCCGCGGCGCAUUAGCUAGUUGGUGAGGUAACGGCUCACCAAGGCGACGAUGCGUAGCCGACCUGAGAGGGUGAUCGGCCACACUGGGACUGAGACACGGCCCAGACUCCUACGGGAGGCAGCAGUAGGGAAUCUUCCACAAUGGACGAAAGUCUGAUGGAGCAACGCCGCGUGAGCGAUGAAGGCCUUCGGGUCGUAAAGCUCUGUUGUUAGGGAAGAACAAGUACCGGAGUAACUGCCGGUGCCUUGACGGUACCUAACCAGAAAGCCACGGCUAACUACGUGCCAGCCGCCGCGGUAACAC